GACGAACGCUGGCGGCGUGCUUAACACAUGCAAGUCGAACGGAAAGGCCUGCUUUCCCUUGUGGAUUGCGGGUACUCGAGUGGCGAACGGGUGAGUAACACGUGAGUGAUCUGCCCCCAACUUGGGUAUAAGCCUGGGAAACUGGGUCUAAUUCCCGAUAGGACUGCAGGGUGGUGCCUGUGGUGGAAAACGAUUUUCUAGUGGUUGGGGUGAGCUCGCGGCCUAUCAGCUUGUUGGUGGGGUAAUGGCCUACCAAGGCGGCGACGGGUAGCCGGCCUGAGAGGGUGGACGGCCACAUUGGGACUGAGAUACGGCCCAGACUCCUACGGGAGGCAGCAGUGGGGAAUAUUGCACAAUGGGCGGAAGCCUGAUGCAGCGACGCCGCGUGGGGGAUGACGGCCUUCGGGUUGUAAACUCCUUUCGACCGCGAGGAAGCCACCUGGUUGGAAGGGUGGUGACGGUAGUGGUAGAAGAAGCACCGGCUAACUACGUG
rnacentral:rRNA from 1 species